rnacentral:rRNA from 1 species
UCGAGCGGAAACGAGAAGUACUUGUACCUUGGCGUCGAGCGGCGGACGGGUGAGUAAUGCUUGGGAAUAUGCCUAGAGGUGGGGGACAACAGUUGGAAACGACUGCUAAUACCGCAUAAUGUUUUACGUUUAGCGCGUAAAACCAAAGGAGGGGCUCUUCGGACCUUUCGCCAUUAGAUUAGCCCAAGUGAGAUUAGCUUGUUGGUAAGGUAAGAGCUUACCAAGGUGACGAUCAGUAUCUGGUUUGAGAGGACGAUCAGACACACUGGAACUGACACACGGUCCAGACUCCUACGGGAGGCAGCAGUGGGGAAUUUUCCGCAAUGGGCGAAAGCCUGACGGAGCAAUACCGCGUGAGGGAAGACUGCCUAUGGGUUGUAAAGCACUUUCAGUUGCGAGGAAAGGUUAUUGCCUAAUAUGUAAUAACUGUGACGUUAACAACAGAAGAAGCACCGGCUAACUCCGUGCCAGCAGCCGCGGUAAUACGGAGGGUGCGAGCGUUAAUCGGAAUUACUGGGCGUAAAGCGUGCGUAG